rnacentral:rRNA from 1 species
AGUGAACGCUGGCGGUAGGCCUAACACAUGCAAGUCGAACGGCAGCACAGUAAGAGCUUGCUCUUACGGGUGGCGAGUGGCGGACGGGUGAGGAAUACAUCGGAAUCUACUUUUUCGUGGGGGAUAACGUAGGGAAACUUACGCCAAUACCGCAUACGACCUACGGGUGAAAGCAGGGGAUCUUCGGACCUUGCGCGAUUGAAUGAGCCGAUGUCGGAUUAGCUAGUUGGCGGGGUAAAGGCCCACCAAGGCGACGAUCCGUAGCUGGUCUGAGAGGAUGAUCAGCCACACUGGAACUGAGACACGGUCCAGACUCCUACGGGAGGCAGCAGUGGGGAAUAUUGGACAAUGGGCGCAAGCCUGACCCAGCCAUACCGCGUGGGUGAAGAAGGCCUUCGGGUUGUAAAGCCCUUUUGUUGGGAAAGAAAAGCAGCAGAUUAAUACCCCGCUGUUCUGACGGUACCCAAAGAGUAAGCACCGGCUAACUUCGUG